rnacentral:lncRNA from 10 species
CAACGCCCUAGGCCGGGCCACGGCGGGGACCCUGUCCAGGUGGCCGGGAGGGUACAGGAAUCCCUCAGCCCCAAGUCCAUGGCUGGGGAGAAAUCCUCGGGUGGGGGCAGCAGCGUCAGGGCUGACCAUCCACCCCCCAGCCAUGAGCCCGGGGGCUCUGCUACCUGGGAGUCUCUGCUAAUUGGCCCCAGCGCCUCCCAGGCUGAACGUUGCUCAAACAUGUCAACCUUGCUGCUUGAUUGACAACCUGUCACUGUUUCGUGAGGUUUCUGAGGUGUUCCCGGGACUCAGCAACCUUGAAAGUUGGAUAAAGAACUCCAGGAAACUGGCAAGUCAGUCAGCGGCCAGAAGCGCCAUAACGAAGGGACGUGAGGCCGCAACUGAUGAGCCAAUCCCCAUGCGCCUGCCACGCCAGCCACGCCCCUGCACUGCUGACCCCAGUGUGAGCCCCUGCCUCCAGCCCUGGCCUGACCGAAGCACCCAGCCCCAUCCCUGGUCACAAUGACCUCCUGCCAAGCUUUCAGCAGGCGUUUUCUCAGCAGCUCCCUGCAACAUUUAGUCACAAGCCCAUUUUUCAGGAGAGGAAACUGAGGCGCAGGGAGAGUGAGCCUGAGGGACCUGCCCUGGUGGGUGCAUACCCCCACAAGCCCUGGAUCCCCAAUCCACUGCCCAGGGGUGCACCCAAAGAGGUGGGUUUGGCCCUCCUGGACCACCCUGGAUCCUCUUGUGCAGGAGGGACUCCAAGUAGACUGAGGAGCUCUUCCCUUCCAGCAGUUGAGAUGUGGAGGGAGAAGGAAGAAGGGGGAGAGUGUUUACCAGCCAAGAGGACGUGGGAUGGGUGUGAGGCUGGCCUUUGAGGAGCAUGGACUGGGCGGGGACCUACCGGUGGGUUGUACAUGGGGAAGCCCAUGGGCCCCGAGCAGGGAACCUGGAAUAAUUGAACAUAAAAAUUCACAUGCAUUUGGCCAGGCGCAGUGGCUCACACCUGUGAUCCCAGCAUUUUGGGAGGCCGAGGUGGGAGGAUCACUUGAGGUCAGGAGUUUGAGACCAGUCUGGCUAACAUGGCGAAACCCCGUCUCUACUAAAAAUACAAAAAAAUUAGCCAGGCGUGGUGGCGCACGCCUAUAGUCCCAGCUACUUGGGAGGCUGAGGCAGGAGAAUUGCUUGAACCCAGGAGGUGGAGGUUAC